AAGUCGUAACAAGGUAUCUGUAGGUGAACCUGCAGAUGGAUCAUUUCGAUGAAAACCUUUUUUCUGAGGUGUGGCUCGCACCUGUCUAACUAAACUUGAGCUACCUUUUUCAACACGGUUGCAUCGGUUGGCCUGUCAAACAGUGCGGCGCGAAUUUCGCGCUUGUUGCUGGGCGGCGGUCGACACUUACACCAAACACUUUUGAUGAUCUAGGAUUUGAAGGUUAUUGAUGAAACGAUUGGUAAUGCGAUCGUCUAAAUCUAAAAAACAACUUUUGGCAACGGAUCUCUUGGUUCUCC
rnacentral:misc_RNA from 1 species